ACACACACCCUGGCACAGGAGACAGUGAUCAUGAAGGCAGUUUUCCCAGGACGAUGCCCACCAUUGCACUCCGGCGGUGCUGACUCCUGCCAUUAAUCCAAAUAUGGUUAACUAGAGAACGAAAAUUUUGAUAACCUGGUGGGGUAGUGAUAACAUGCCCGU